rnacentral:lncRNA from 1 species
ACGCUACAGAGGCUGUCUGACAACUCCUUCCAGGGGAUGAAGAUGUGGGGGGGACUAUAUCUCGAAGAAGCUCUGGCAAGAGCCAGCUGGACCCAGCUGUGAUCAUAUGCAAUGCUGAUCAGUUAGAACUCAGACACAGAAAGAAGCAGACCUCGGUCAGACUCCCUGGUUCUGAGUCAUCACUGAACACUACAAUAUUCAUGGAUAUACUAAGUCACAGACACUGAGACAUCUCAGAAACAGUUAAUUGACUCUGGAAGCAGCACCGCUAAGACCUGGAGGGUUGUUUCCCUUCCCAUUGCUG